rnacentral:rRNA from 1 species
GAUGAACGCUGGCGGCGUGCCUAAUACAUGCAAGUCGAGCGAACGGACGAGAAGCUUGCUUCUCUGAUGUUAGCGGCGGACGGGUGAGUAACACGUGGAUAACCUACCUAUAAGACUGGGAUAACUUCGGGAAACCGGAGCUAAUACCGGAUAAUAUUUUGAACCGCAUGGUUCAUAAGUGAAAGACGGUCUUGCUGUCACUUAUAGAUGGAUCCGCGCUGCAUUAGCUAGUUGGUAAGGUAACGGCUUACCAAGGCAACGAUGCAUAGCCGACCUGAGAGGGUGAUGGGCCACACUGGAACUGAGACACGGUCCAGACUCCUACGGGAGGCAGCAGUAGGGAAUCUUCCGCAAUGGGGGAAAGCCUGACGGAGCAACGCCGCGUGAGUGAUGAAGGUCUUCGGAUCGUAAAACUCUGUUAUUAGGGAAGAACAUAUGUGUAAGUAACUGUGCACAUCUUGACGGUACCUAAUCAGAAAGCCACGGCUAACUACGUG